rnacentral:lncRNA from 1 species
CCUUCCCUGUGCACUGGCGGGCAUGAGGGAAGGAUGGGAGGCAGUGUGUGUGUGUGUGUGUGUGUGUGUGUGUGUGGAGGGGGUGAUACAGGGAGGGGAGGCUCCCUACCCCUACCCCUGCUGCCCAGCUGCAGCCAGGCCGGUGCGUCCAUGUCUAGGGGCAGGCUGCAGCAAGAAGACGUGGGAAUGCACAGCCCCAGGGAUUGUGUCAUCCACAUGCUUCCCAUGAGGGUUGGCAGCUGAGAGCAAGGGGCUGCAGCUGGUGGGGGAAUGUGUGAGUUGCGGUCAAUGUGAAUGCACGUGG